rnacentral:rRNA from 1 species
CCUACGGGGGGCAGCAGUGGGGAAUAUUGGACAAUGGGGGCAACCCUGAUCCAGCCAUGCCGCGUGUGUGAAGAAGGCCCUCGGGUUGUAAAGCACUUUCAGUGAGGAAGAACGCCUGGUGGUUAAUACCCAUCAGGAAAGACAUCACUCACAGAAGAAGCACCGGCUAACUCCGUGCCAGCAGCCGCGGUAAUACGGAGGGUGCGAGCGUUAAUCGGAAUUACUGGGCGUAAAGCGCGCGUAGGUGGCUUGAUAUGCCGGUUGUGAAAGCCCCGGGCUCAACCUGGGAACGGCAUCCGGAACUGUCAAGCUAGAGUGCAGGAGAGGAAGGUAGAAUUCCCGGUGUAGCGGUGAAAUGCGUAGAGAUCGGGAGGAAUACCAGUGGCGAAGGCGGCCUUCUGGACUGACACUGACACUGAGGUGCGAAAGCGUGGGUAGCAAACAGGAUUAGAUACCCUAGUAGUC